GAUGAACGCUGGCGGCGUGCCUAAUACAUGCAAGUCGAGCGAACAGACGAGGAGCUUGCUCCUCUGACGUUAGCGGCGGACGGGUGAGUAACACGUGGAUAACCUACCUAUAAGACUGGGAUAACUUCGGGAAACCGGAGCUAAUACCGGAUAAUAUAUUGAACCGCAUGGUUCAAUAGUGAAAGACGGUUUUGCUGUCACUUAUAGAUGGAUCCGCGCCGCAUUAGCUAGUUGGUAAGGUAACGGCUUACCAAGGCAACGAUGCGUAGCCGACCUGAGAGGGGGAUCGGCCACACGGGAACUGAGCAACGGUCCAGACUCCUACGGGAGGCAGCAGUAGGGAAUCUUCCGCAAUGGGCGAAAGCCUGACGGAGCAACGCCGCGUGAGUGAUGAAGGUCUUCGGAUCGUAAAACUCUGUUAUUAGGGAAGAACAAAUGUGUAAGUAACUAUGCACGUCUUGACGGUACCUAAUCAGAAAGCCACGGCUAACUACGUG
rnacentral:rRNA from 1 species